AGCUGUCAUCAGUCUACGUUACAACAAUUUCAUUUAUGGCAAAUAACACAUAAAAGCCUAGCUUUUUGCCGUCAAAACGUUAAUGUAAUUAUACUAAUUGAGUUAAUUAGUCAUUUCCUUUUCUGUGACAUGUUCUUUAGUUUAUAAAACAUGCGUGUUGACCAUGCAAAAAUAUCGAUCCAAUUUUCUUGUAUUUAGGCCAAUAAUUUUGCAAAUAAAUAGUAGUUUGAGUGAUUUAUUUCCGUAUUAUCGCGGAGAUAAUGUUGUUUGUUUUGUAAACCUGACGGCAGAGCAGUGACGCCCACAUUUCUUUGUCUGUUCCCAGGAGAGAAAGUUCAGCAUAAUGGCAAGUGUGAGUGGCAGCUCCGCAGUGCUGGACCUCAAUGACGCUGAUGCGGAGGACACGGAGGCGCCGUCUGUCGCCGACGACGUCCAGGAGGGGGCUCCACUUAUCAUGGAGCAUGGAUAUGAUAUUGCUGUCAAGGUGGACGCGCCACUGAAGCAGCUGUCGACGCUGGAGACGUUCGUGACGUACCGCGUGCGCUGCGUGUGCGCACGCUGGGCCUCCCCGCCCGCCGUGCGGCGGCGGUACAACCACUUCAAGGCCCUCCACGCCCGCCUGACGCAGCGCUACCCCCUGCUGGCCAUACCCCCCCUCCCACCUCUCCACUCGGCUCGGCAGCAACUGGACCGGUACUCGCCCGGGUUCGUGCGCGUGAGAUGUGCGCAGCUGCACUGCUUCUGCGAUCGUGUGGCGAAGCAUCCCAUCCUGACAUACAGUGAAGAUUUUCAGUUGUUUCUCACCACGCCCGACGAAGAAUUAGACAAGCUCUUCAAAAGUGAAAACAGCGCUCUCAACCUCUGGGGGCUGAGCAGCGCGAUAUACGGUAACAGUUCGGACAUGAAGCAAACUACUAAUGGUGCAAGAGUAAAAGACCCGGAGUUCUCAGCGGCGUCCGACUACCUCCAAUCCCUGCAACAGAAACUGACCACGCUAUGCUCGCUCACCACCAAACUCUACAAGGGCACCGCGCAGCUCAGCACUCAGCUUAUGACCAUGAAGCGCGCGUGCGACCUGUGGUCGUGCUCCAGCAGCGGGCAGCUGGCGCGCGGCGUGGCGGGCGCGGGCGCGGGCGCGGGCGCGGCGGCGGCGGCCACGGCGCGCCUGCCCACCCCGCUGCGGGCGCGCGCCGUGCUGCCCGCGCUCGCGCUCUACGCCAACGCCCAGCAGGCGAAGAUCCGGCAGCGGGACGCCAUGCAUGCGGCGCACGUGUCGGGUUCGGGCGCCGCGGACGUGCACAACCGGCUGUCGCAGGCGUCGGAGGCGCUCCGCAGCGACCUGGCCGACUGGCGCGGCAAGACGCGCCGCGACCUCACCGACAUCCUGCGGGACAUGGCCGCACACCACACCGCCAUGCACACGCAGAUCUUAAUGGGUUGGGAGCACGCGUUGAGACUGUCGACGGAGGCUAACGUCGACGACCUAUUUAAAACAGUGUCAAAAACCGCGGUGCAGAACCUCUCGCCUUCGAAAUGCAGAGCUGAUACAACCCCCACGGAAACCGACAAGGACUUCGACGAUCUAGACAACUACUCAGAUUCUGAUCUGCAAGAGUUGAGGUUGGAAGACAGCGAAAGGAAACAAGAAAAUGUAAUUUUAGACACAAACUCUGUCACGAGAAAUGACAAUGUUAUCAACGAGAAUACGUCCUUGGACAAGACUGCGAGUUCUGAAGAGAAGGAGAUGGAAGACAUCAUAGAGUUGACCAGUGAUGGAGACAUUUUCGAAAGGUCAGACUCGAAGGAAAAUGGGUUCUCGACGUCGAAAGAAUCGAAAGUCGAAACGAUAUCGGACCCGUUGCAAGACUUCGCCGAAGUGGACUUGUCUUCAUGAUUUUACGAUUCAUUAUUCUGCAAUGUUUUGAGAGAGUUCUAAAUUUUUUUAUUUUGAGAUUAACCCAGUUUAAAAUGGCCACAUCGAAGCAAUUGCCUAAUUGACAGUUGUAGCAAUAAAAUAUGAAACAUGUCGGGUCUACAUAAAAAAUACAAUUGGAUAAUUAAUGGUGCUCCUGUAAACACCAUCUAAUUUUAUUUUAAGUUAUAUCUGUCUUUUUCUUAUCCGCCGAAAGGAAAAGGGACGGGAAAUCGACAAGCAUAAAAUUUAUGGAACACACGUCAAUUUUAAGCACAAAUCUAAAACAACCCUAUAAACAUUUUGCAUUGGCUAAUAAUCCGAUAGAAUUAUGUUGACAGCACACGUCAAACGGUUUACAUACCAGCGAGAUACCUUUUUGAUUCGCCCGGGUUAUCCAUUAAUUUACUCAUUCUUCCUAAAUUUAAGAGCUGUCAAUCAUCCGUCCCUUUCCUUUUCGGCGGGUAAGAAAAUGACGGGUAUAACUUAAAGUAAAAUUAGGAGGUGUCUGCAGGAAUCGG
rnacentral:misc_RNA from 1 species